UACGGAGGGUGCAAGCGUUAAUCGGAAUUACUGGGCGUAAAGCGCACGCAGGUGGCUGAGUCAGUCGAUUGUGAAAGCCCUGGGCUUAACCUGGGAAUUGCAGUCGAUACUACUCAGCUAGAGUAUGGGAGAGGGUAGUGGAAUUCCCGGUGUAGCGGUGAAAUGCGUAGAUAUCCGGAGGAACACCAGAGGCGAAGGCGGCCGACUGGACCUGACCUGACGCUGAGGCGCGAAGGCGUGGGGAGCGAACGGG
rnacentral:rRNA from 1 species